rnacentral:rRNA from 1 species
GUCUACGACCACACUACCCUGAAUAUGCCCAAUUUCGACUGAUCUCGGAAGCUAAGCAGGGUUGCACCUGGUUAGUACUUGGUUGGGAGACCACCUAGGAAGACCAGAUGCUGUAGGCG